rnacentral:snoRNA from 1 species
AUGGCUCUUAACACCUUCAACAUGUUCAAACAAAUCCACUAUUUAUCUAGAUCGCUGUAGAGAGUAUUUCUCGACAGCAAUCGUGUUUUUUCGGAAACAAGGUACUUAGCAGAUCCCACCACGCAUGAAGAACAAGCUCAAGUAGCCCAUAGUUGGAUUAUUCCUAACGCCCUUUUCGCUAACAACGACUGAAACCCACAGUACGUAGUUUGAUAGUAGAUGGGCGGAAAUUU